ensembl:lncRNA
GAAAAGGCGAUGAGAUGUGAAACGCCCACAUUCAUUCAGAUUAACUUCGCAAUUUAUUCGAUUUGUUAUUCCAAUUAGCGCUUAGUGAGCCUCACCUUUGACUCCUGCUCUUCUUUAAAAGACACGGCUGCUCAGAUCUUUCUGAUUGGUCCUCAAUUCGACCGAGGAGUGGAGAGAGACGUGCUGAGAGUGGAGUAGAGUAGAGUAGAGUAGAGUAGGACUUUAUUUUCGAAGCAUGCGAUCUCGAACGACCACCGUUGCGUUCCUUUCCGUCCUCACUGAGACCUGGACUAUAAAACACAACGUGGCCACCAACGACCAGGACUACAGCCUCUCAAACUGGUCUACAGCGUGAUGAUGACGUCAUACCCAGCUGGUCUACAGCUUGAUGACUUCAUACCCAGCUGCUCUACAGCGUGAUGACGUCAAACCCAGCUGCUCUACAGCGUGAUGACUCAUACCCAGCUGCUCUACAGCUUGAUGACGUCAUACCCAGGUGCUCUACAGCGUGAUCAAGUCAUACCCAACUGGUUUACAGAGUGAUGAUGAAACCCAACUGGUCUACAGCAUGAUGACGUCAUACCCAGCUGGUCUACAGCGUGAUGAUGUCAUACCAAGCUGGUCUACAGCAUGAUGUCAUACCCAGCUUGUCUACAGCAUGAUGAUGACGUCAUACCCAGCUUGUCUACAGCAUGAUGAUGACGUCAUACCCAGCUGGUCUACAGCAUGAUGAUGACGUCGUACCCUGCUGGUUUACUACAGCCGAGUCCAGGUGAAGGCCUCGGUGGAAGGUCUCUGAAGUAUCAGACCACCAGGGACUAGAUGACGGACAGACGGUCUGGGUGGUUGGGGCCCGGGUUGGUGUUUAGUGGGUUGUGGUGAGAGUGGACCUGUGGAUGAGUGGGGCUGUGAGUGUGUUAUCCAGAGCAUGGACUACAUGUUGAUGUACUGAUGGACAUUAAACACGCACACACCUCCAGAUACUCAACAUUUCCUGCUUCACUUUCUUCAACUUUCAACACAUUGAGAUGCUGCUGCCGACCCUGCUGGCUGCCAGGGCCGGCUCUGCUGCCGGGACCCCGCUGGCUGCUGGGGGCUCUGCUGCCGGGGCCGGCUCUGCUGCCGGGACGGCUCUGGCUGCCGGGGCCGGCUCUGCUGGUUGCUGGUUUUGUUUGCUGCUGGUUUUGUUUAUUCGUGCUGCUGGUUUUGUUUGCUGCUGGUUUUGAUUGCUGUUGGUUUUGUUUGCUCAUGCUGCUGGUUUUGUUUGCUGCUGGUUUUGAUUGCUGCUGGUUUUGUUUAUUCAUGCUGCUGGUUUUGUUUGCUGCUGGUUUUGAUUGCUGCUGGUUUUGUUUGCUGCUGGUUUUGUUUAUUCAUGCUGCUGGUUUUGUUUGCUGCUGGUUUUGAUUGCUGUUGGUUUUGUUUGCUCAUGCUGCUGGUUUUGUUUAUUCAUGCUGCUGGUUUUGUUUGCUGCUGGUUUUGAUUGCUGCUGGUUUUGUUUGCUCAUGCUGCUGGUUUUGUUUCUGCUGGUUUUGUUUGCUGCUGGUUUUGUUUGCUGCUGGUUUUGUUUGCUGCUGGUUUUGUUUGCCCAUGUUGCUGGUUGGUUUGAUGCUUACUGACUUGUUGUUCGUCAUCGCUGCAGUUUGUUAGGUCCAAACAGGACCGGGAUGUUGUUGGGUUGGACCAGUCUGGAGGACUCAUUGUGGUCUUGGGUUCUGGACCAGGGUCUAGUUUGGGUCUGGUGAACUUUGACUUGGUUGAGUAUCUUGAGUUUGGUUUCUGAAUAAUUUGUCGUGUUGGAAAUGGACGAAUUUGUCCGAAUGACCUGGGAGCCAUUGGUUCAAUCAAUUGCACAAGCAUCUUGCCCUUGAACUGGUACUUUAUGGUGACUUGAAACAUAAAAUGGACGAAUUUCUAUUCAGUUAUUUAUCCCGGAACCGUCAUUGUGGCUUACAGCUUAAUAAUUUUAUUUGACCAAUUUGAAAAUGAUCUCAACACUUACAAAAUGUCAGCGCAAACGCCAGCAUUAUCAGCAACACAAAGUUGCCGAAAGGUCUGGAAAUCUGCCACGUCAGCAGAGCGGCACUUUACACCGACGGAUGCAGACCUUCCAUCUCCUGGUGAGGAGCCGCUCAGGGACUGCAGUCGGGCUCAGAGGGGCAGUGUGGAGACCCCUAGUGGUCUGAGACCAGGAGCUCUGAACGCUCUGGAGUCCACGCUGGAGACUUGUGAGGAGACCAACAUUUGAUUGAGGCAUCCUAGAGAUGGGAGGGUCAUCACGACUACCUCUUGGCUGUUGGAGGCGGUCGUCUUGACGACCUGGUUCAGCAGAUUCUAGACCUAGAGGAGCAUCAACGCGUUUCGAGGGACCCCAACUUCAGAGUGAGAGGCAAGGACCUGGUAGAUCUACCUGAAGACCCCCACCUCUCCGUCAGGUGGGCAGCGGCCCACGGCUCCACCCCACCAAGUUGACUCAACCUACCAACGUCUUCCAGUCUGGAGCAGACACCCUGACCCAACCUGCGCCCCAGGGAUGAGGAGAUGCUGAGUUACUGGGAGGAGGGUCUCCACUGGGCGGUCCUUAUCAUGGUUUCCUCCCCUUUCCUCGGCUGGAGUUAGUGUUGUCCUUAUAAGGGCUCGGUGGGUGAUGUCUCUUUUCUGAAGGCGGGACAUCUGAAGGGAUGUCUUGCCAAUUAAAUAGCUUUAUCUGAAUAGAAGAUGGAAAACCAUCUCUUGUAAGUCUAUUUACUUUUUUGGUUACUUUUCAAUGUUCUCAGCAUCUCUGCUGAAUGUAACUUUGUAGCAGAUAGACGAUUAUCGUUUUUUUCAGUCAGCAAAUGUUACUGUAAGUUGUGUUUUUCAUGUGUGAAUAAAAUGCUUGACUUAAAAACGUGUGGACAGUUAACUUGGUAGAGACUAAUUUGUUAGAGCAUCUUGCCCUU